rnacentral:rRNA from 1 species
UACGUAGGGGGCAAGCGUUGUCCGGAGUUACUGGGCGUAAAGCGCACGCAGGCGGUCUUUUAAGUUUGGAGUGACAGUUGGUGGCUUAACUGCCAAAGUGCUUCGAAAACUGAAAGACUUGAGGGCUUCAGAGGGACACGGAAUUCCGGGUGGAGUGGUGAAAUGCGCAGAUAUCGGGAGGAACACCGGUGGCGAAGGCGGUUCUCUGGGCCUUACCUGACGCUGAGGAGCGAAAGCGUGGGGAGCGAACAGG